rnacentral:rRNA from 1 species
UACGUAGGGGGCGAGCGUUGUCCGGAAUCAUUGGGCGUAAAGAGCGUGUAGGCGGCCCGAUAAGUCCGCCGUGAAAGUCCAGGGCUCAACCCUGGAAUGCCGGUGGAAACUGGCGGGCUGGAGUCCGGAAGAGGCGAGUGGAAUUCCUGGUGUAGCGGUGAAAUGCGCAGAUAUCAGGAGGAACACCAAUGGCGAAGGCAGCUCGCUGGGACGGUACUGACGCUGAGACGCGAAAGCGUGGGGAGCAAACAGG